ACAUCUGAUUCAGAGAAUUAUAAAACACAUUUACAAUCACUGUAUCCCAACCUACACAACUGGCAGAAGGCGUCUUUCCCACCAGAGGAAAGGCCAGCUCCCUCAACCCAAGAGAGAUGGCAAAGACUAUUUCUGCCAUCAGGGAAAAAUAUAUCUGCCUUCACAAAUAUUUAAGACUAGGUAUCAUUAAUGAAGAAGUCAAGAAAUCAUCAGAUUCUAUCACUGAAAAUAGAAUUCAAAACAUUAAAAGGAACAUCUCUAGAAGCAGAGCAAUAAUAAAUGAAGCUGUGUUAUUUGAAAAUUACCCAAAUUUCAUCAAAGUCAAAAUGCCAUACUUGAAUUUGUCAAGAAACAAUUACAAAAUGUGUGAAACCCUGAUGGGGGAUGUUCUUCUUUAUGGUGUGAAUAUAUGUCUUUCAUAUUGGUUAAGGAAUAAAGCUGUUUCAGCCAAUGAACAGGCAAAAUAUAGCCAAGCAGUAAGUAUAGGCGGGCAUACCAGACUUACAGAAUGCUGGGAAGAAAGACACAGAGAGAAUCUGUAG
rnacentral:lncRNA from 1 species